rnacentral:lncRNA from 1 species
GGGCAGGGGUGGGUUAGGUGAAAUGUGGGACAGCUGCUUCUACUCAGAAUGUUUGUAGCCAUUGCUUCUCUUCCUUUGUAUGGCUAGUCUGGUUUUGUUUUAGACCAAGGCAAAGUGCAGCGGUGGAGGCACACCUGGGCUCAGGUUCCCAUCCUGCCACUCAGUUGAUGCCACCCUUGGCCCGCUGAAUAUGGACUCCAACGGUGCCCUAGGGGAUGGUGGAGCCACCAGAUGGAAGGAGCCUGGUGAUCCCGAGAAGGAGAGAUGCCUCGCUGACCUGAACAUCUUUCCAGAACUGUUAAAUGAAGCCUGCAGGACACCAGCUGACAGUGGAAGGACUGAGGAAGGUUGUAUAAUUUUGUGCAAGGUCCACCACAAAUCCAGCUGAAGAACUGCUCCAAAGUUUAGGUCAUGGCAAGAACAAGACUGGAUCACUCCAUGUCAGUGGAAACAUGUCCACCAACUUCAUCAUUGUCUGUUGUCAUGGUUCACUUUAGAUGUAAACUUGACUGGAUUAAGGAUUCCCUAAAGUGUCAGGCCUCUGAGCCCAAGCUAAGCCAUCAUAUCCCCUGUGACCUGCAUGUACACAUCCAGAUGGCCGGUUCCUGCCUUAACUGACGACAUUCCACCACAAAAGAAGUGAAAAUGGCCUGUUCCUGCCUUAACUGAUGACAUUAUCUUGUGAAAUUCCUUCUCCUGGCUCAUCCUGGCUCCAAAGCUCCCCCACUGAGCACCUUGUGACCCCCACUCCUGCCCACCAGAGAACAACCCCCUUUGACUGUAAUUUUCCUUUACCUUCCCAAAUCUUAUAAAAUGGCCCCACCCCAUCUCCCUUUGCUGACUUUCUUUUCAGACUCAGCCCUCCUGCAACCAGUUGAUUAAAAGCUUUAUUGCUC